UCAGGCCUAACACAUGCAAGUCGAGGGGUAGAAGGAGCUUGCUCCUUUGAGACCGGCGCACGGGUGCGUAACGCGUAUGCAAUCUACCUUUUACAGAGGGAUAGCCCAGAGAAAUUUGGAUUAAUACCUCAUAGUAUAUAUCAUUCGCAUGUUUGGUAUAUUAAAGUUCCAACGGUAAGAGAUGAGCAUGCGUCCCAUUAGUUAGUUGGUAAGGUAACGGCUUACCAAGACGAUGAUGGGUAGGGGUCCUGAGAGGGAGAUCCCCCACACUGGUACUGAGACACGGACCAGACUCCUACGGGAGGCAGCAGUGAGGAAUAUUGGUCAAUGGACGCAAGUCUGAACCAGCCAUGCCGCGUGCAGGAAGACGGUCCUAUGGAUUGUAAAGGGCUUUUGUACGGGAAGAAACACUCCUACGUGUAGGAGCCUGAC
rnacentral:rRNA from 1 species